UCCUGGCUCGUCUCUAUGGUUGCGCCGGCGUUGGCGGUAUCGGCGGCUGACGAGCGCUGAGGCUUCCAACUUUGCGGCGGCUCUGCGCGUUGUGGGGCUCGGCGGGGCGCGAUGUCCGAGAAGAAGCAGCCUGUCGACCUGGGUCUCCUGGAAGAGGACGACGAGUUCGAGGAGUUUCCCGCCGAAGACUGGGCUGGCUUAGAUGAAGAUGAAGAUGCACAUGUCUGGGAGGAUAAUUGGGAUGACGACAAUGUAGAAGAUGACUUCUCCAAUCAGUUACGCGCUGAGCUAGAGAAGCAUGGUUACAAGAUGGAAACGUCAUAGCAUCCAGAAAUGUUUCAAGAACCUUAAACAUGGACUGUGUACUAAAUUCUAGGACAGGAAAACAAGGAUGGGAUACUUAAAGACUAUGUUUAUUUCAUUACCUGCUUGGAUUUAUUUUUGUUUUUAUAACAAAAUAAAUAAAUAAAUAAAUGUUUUGAUCUAA